AGUGAACGCUGGCGGUAGGCCUAACACAUGCAAGUCGAACGGCAGCACAGUAAGAGCUUGCUCUUACGGGUGGCGAGUGGCGGACGGGUGAGGAAUACAUCGGAAUCUACUUUUUCGUGGGGGAUAACGUAGGGAAACUUACGCUAAUACCGCAUACGACCUACGGGUGAAAGCAGGGGAUCUUCGGACCUUGCGCGAUUGAAUGAGCCGAUGUCGGAUUAGCUAGUUGGCGGGGUAAAGCCCACCAAGGCGACGAUCCGUAGCUGGUCUGAGAGGAUGAUCAGCCACACUGGAACUGAGACACGGUCCAGGCUCCUACGGGAGGCAGCAGUGGGGAAUAUUGGACAAUGGGCGCAAGCCUGAUCCAGCCAUACCGCGUGGGUGAAGAAGGCCUUCGGGUUGUAAAGCCCUUUUGUUGGGAAAGAAAAGCAGCAGGUUAAUACCCCGCUGUUCUGACGGUACCCAAAGAAUAAGCACCGGCUAACUUCGUG
rnacentral:rRNA from 1 species